GAUGAACGCUGGCGGCAUGCCUAACACAUGCAAGUCGGACGGGCAGUGGUGUUUCUAGUGGCGGACGGGUUAGUAACGCGUAAGAACCUGCCCUUUGGAGGGGCACCAUAGCUGAAAACGGCUGCUAAUACCCCGUAGGCUUAGGAGCAAAAGGUGUAAUCCGCCUGAGGAGUGGCUCGCGUCUGAUUAGCUAGCUGGUGAGUCAAUAGCUGACCAAGGCGAUGAUCAGUAGAUGGUCCGAGAGGAUGAUCGGCCACACUGGGACUGAGGCACGGAGCAGGCUACUACGGGAGGCAGCAGAGGGGAAGACGCAGCAAUGCGCGAAGGGCUAACAGGGCAAUGCGGUGUGGAGGUAGAGGGACUACGGGUCGAGAAAUGUUUAUGCAGGAGAAGAAGCAAUGACGGUACCUGGGGAGUAAGCCUCGGCUAACUCUGUG
rnacentral:rRNA from 1 species